AUACUCCUGGAGGACUCGGUAAGGCGCUGGGCGGGGUUUUGCCCGUUCCGCGGGACGCCGGGAAGGGGUCACUUCCCAGACGAAAUUCCGGUUCCGGUGUAAGCGGUGGUUGAGUUGCCAUGGCGACGCGGUUGGCGGGCUAUGCCUCGUGCCUACAGCGGGUGCGGUAGGGGAUUGGAGCAGGCCCGAGCCCUCCUCCUACAGCUGAGAUUCAUCAAUUCCAGGUGAAUCAGAGGAACAAGAUGCAUCAUGAACAGAAAUAUAUAGAUAAUGCUGUUAUGCUGAAGCAUAACUGUUGUUCCAGAAGUCCAGCAUCUGGUGCACUUAACAAUAGAGAAUAUGUUAAAUUAUUUCCAAAACCACCUAACUUUAUUUCUUAUUAAUGUUAUAGUAAGUUUUUUUGUUUUUUCUAUUUAAUAAACAUUGACGAUUUCCUGAAAA